rnacentral:rRNA from 1 species
UACGGAGGGAGCUAGCGUUGUUCGGAAUGACUGGGCGUAAAGGGCGCGUAGGCGGUCUAUCAAGUGAGGCGUGAAAGCCCCGGGCUUAACCUGGGAAUUGCGCUUCAUACUAGUAGGCUUGAGGACGAGAGAGGAAAGUGGAAUUCCUAGUGUAGAGGUGAAAUUCGUAGAUAUUAGGAAGAACACCAGUGGCGAAGGCGACUUUCUGGCUCGUAACUGACGCUGAGGCGCGAAAGCGUGGGGAGCAAACAGG